rnacentral:rRNA from 1 species
AUUGAACGCUGGCGGCAUGCCUAACACAUGCAAGUCGAACGGGGGCAGCAAUGCCCUAGUGGCGGACGGGUGAGGAAUACGUAGGAACCGGCCCACGAGUGGGGGACAACCUGGGGAAACCCAGGCUAAUACCGCAUACGCUCGCGAGAGGAAAGCGGGGGGACCUUCGGCCGUCGCGCUGGUGGACGGGCCGUACGUCCGAUUAGCUAGUUGGUGGGGUAAAAGGACCUACCAAGGCGACGAUCGGUAGCUGGUCUGAGAGGAUGAUCAGCCACACUGGGACUGAGACACGGCCCAGACUCCUACGGGAGGCAGCAGUGGGGAAGUAUUGGAC